AGGCUCGUAGCUCAGCUGGUAGAGCAUGUGCGUACAAAUCGUACGCGGCGUCCAUGCGUGGGUUCUAAUCCUACCGAGGCCU
rnacentral:tRNA from 1 species